rnacentral:tRNA from 1 species
AAGGGAAAUGACAGAGUGGUUUAUUGUAUUUGAUUUGAGAUCAAAAAAAUAUAAUAUAUAUUUCAUGGGUUCAAAUCCCAUUUUCUCUUU